AAAAAUGCAAAUUCGGACCUCUUAAUCUCUUAUAUAAAGGUGCUCGAAGCACUGCGGUCUCUACACCAGCACGCCAAUUGUUCCCUUUCGGCGCACAGGUUUUGGCGGCUUUGCCCUCUGCAACGACCGUCGCGCAUCUGGAAAGAUGCACCCCAACUGUCGCAUCUUGCUUGUCCAGCUUCUUGCCAUCCUCGCGUUGAUGUUCUUCGUCAGCGCCACCCUCGGUCGUCUAAGUCCUUCCGGGCGUCCGACGUGCAACGGCGGUACCCAAAACCCAGUCGGCUGCUCAUCUUUGCCCGGUAAUAGCUGUCCAGGCUGUCCAUGACACUAAGCGUAUUCUGGUUCUGGAGAAUGGGAUGCGGAUCCGAAGAUUCUCCAAACCAUUGAACUCAGGAUGACAGCAGGGCUCGUUCCGAAGCUUAUGUCAACGACAAUGGUUUUUAGGAGAUUAUCCAAGUAAAAUGAGAUGUACAAGUGUGUUAUCAUUCUGUUCUACAAUAUAAGCCGUUUUAGCAAAUUAUGCUCA